CCAUAAGGUCUCCUUGGAGCCUUCUCUUCUCCAGGCUGAACAACCUCAACUUUCUCAGCCUUUUGUCAUAGGAGAGGUGCUACAUCCCUACGAGCAUCUUUAUGUCAUCA